UACGGAAGGGGCGAGCGUUGUUCGGAAUCAUUGGGCGUAAAGGGCGCGUAGGUGGUUCUGUAUGUCUACCGUGAAAGCGUACGGCUCAACCGUAUUUUGUCGGUAGAAACUGCAGGACUUGAGGCUGGGAGGGGCUGGUGGAAUUCCCCGUGUAGCGGUGAAAUGCGUAGAGAUGGGGGAGAACACUCGUGGCGAAGGCGGCCAGCUAGACCAGUUCUGACACUGAGGCGCGACAGCGUGGGGAGCAAACAGG
rnacentral:rRNA from 1 species